rnacentral:rRNA from 1 species
UUUAAGGUCUAAUCUGCCCUAUGAGGAGUUAAAUGGCCGCGGUACUUUGACCGUGCAAAGGUAGCAUAAUAAUUAGUUUUUUAAUUGAAAGCUGGAAUGAACGAUUGAACGAGAAAAUAGCUGUCUCAUUUUAAUUGUAAUAGAACUUUAUUUUUAAGUAAGAAAGCUUAAAUUUUUUUGAAAGACGAGAAGACCCUGUAGAGUUUUAUAGUUUAAUUUAUUUUAAUUUUUUUGGGAAUGUUUGUGUUAAUUUAAAUUAACUUAUUUUGUUGGGGCGAUAGAAAAAUUUGAUGAACUUUUUUUUUUGUUGUCAUUUAUAUAUGUUUAUUUGAUCCAUUGUUUAUGAUUAUAAGAUUAAAUUACCUUAGGGAUAACAGCGUAAUUUUUUUUUAAAGUUCUAAUCAAAAGAAAAAAUUGCGACCUCGAUGUUGGAUUAAAAUAAAUGUUUGGUGUAGGGGCUAAAUAAUUGGGUCUGUUCAACCUUUAAAAUUUUACA